GCCCCGCUAGCUCAGCCCGGUAGAGCAGCGGAUUCUUAAUCCGUGGGUCGGGGGUUCAAAUCCCUCGCGGGGCA
rnacentral:tRNA from 1 species